ensembl:lncRNA
GGGAAAACAUUUGGUACCACUGUCCCUGAGAUCUCAAAUGCCACAAGCACAUGGAGGGUGGAAAAUCCAUUGGAAAAAUGGAUUUUAUAAUGGCAAGUAUUGGCUGGAGCUUUGUGGAAUCACGCAGAAAUGGAUCCUUGAACCUAAGAUAUUUUUGAACACCUUUGAUUACCCAAAACUCAUUGUUACAUCAUUGAUUCUCUCAAAGCAAAGUACUUACUCCCAGGAAUUAAACAAUAUCAGUGACUGGAAGUGGGAUUGUGAAAUAAUCCUCACCACAAUUAACAGCCUGGGACAACUGUAAAGUCUUUCAUGGAGUCUUUAUUAUCAGUGCUUACAGAAUAGGGCAUCACUCGUUUGAACUCAAUCUAUGGCUUUGAA